CUGGGAAGGAGUCUAGCAGAUUCCUAUUUAGAUGAAGGCUUUCUGUUAGAUAAAAAAAUUGGAGUGAAUCAACCAAAGUGAAUUGAAAAUGCCAAAAUUCUUAUUGCAAAUACUGGGAUGGAUACAGACAAGAUAAAGAUAUUUGGUUCCCGGGUAAGAGUGGAUUCUACAGCAAAGGUUGCAGAGAUAGAACAUGCAGAAAAGGAAAAUAUGAAGGAGAAAGUUGAACGUAUUCUUAAGCAUGGAAUAAAUUGUUUUAUUAACAGGCAGUUAAUUUAUAAUUACCCUGAACAGCUCUUUGGUGCUGCUGGUGUCAUGGCAAUUGAGCAUGCAGAUUUUGCAGGUGUGGAACACCUAGCUCUUGUCACAGGUGGUAAAAUUGCCUCUACUUUUGAUCAUCCGGAACUGGUGAAGCUUGGAAGUUGCAAACUUAUUGAAGAAGUUAUGAUUGGAGAAGACGAACUGAUUCACUUUUCUGGGGUUGCCCUGGGUGAGGCGUGUACCAUUGUUCUGCGUGGCGCCACUCAACAAAUUCUAGAUGAAGCAGAAAGAUCGUUGCAUGAUGCUCUUUGUGUUCUCGCCCAGACUGUGAAGGAUCCGAGAACAGUUUAUGGAGGAGGCUGUUCUGAGAUGCUGAUGGCACAUGCUGUGACACAGCUUGCUAGCAGAACACCAGGAAAAGAAGCUGUUGCAAUGGAGUCCUUCGCUACAGCCCUGAGAAUGUUGCCCACCAUCAUAGCUGACAAUGCAGGAUAUGACAGUGCAGAUCUGGUGGCCCAGCUCCGAGCUGCUCAUAGUGAAGGCAGAAUAACUGCUGGACUAGAUAUGAAGGAAGGUACCAUUGGCGACAUGGCACUGCUGGGCAUAACAGAAAGCUUCCAAGUGAAGCGGCAGGUUCUGCUGAGUGCAGCUGAGGCAGCAGAGGUGAUUCUGCGUGUGGAUAACAUCAUCAAAGCAGCACCAAGGAAACGUGUCCCUGAUCACCACCCUUGUUAGGCGGCAUUCGCAUGUGCUGUUGAUAUCUGGACCACUUCAUAGCGAAAUUGCAUUUGAAAGACUUCAAUUUCUUAAAAAAGACUGAGGAGUUGACACUUAUCUGUGUCCAUUAUAUCCUUAUGUUUGGACACUUAGCUGACCUUCUGUUUUAACAUGGGUCUAAUUU